rnacentral:rRNA from 1 species
UACGAAGGGGGCUAGCGUUGCUCGGAAUCACUGGGCGUAAAGGGCGCGUAGGCGGAUCUUUAAGUCGGGGGUGAAAGCCCAGGGCUCAACCCUGGAAUUGCCUUCGAUACUGCGGGUCUCGAGUCCGGGAGAGGUGAGUGGAAUUCCUAGUGUAGAGGUGAAAUUCGUAGAUAUUAGGAAGAACACCAGUGGCGAAGGCGGCUCACUGGUCCGGUACUGACGCUGAGGUGCGAAAGCGUGGGGAGCAAACAGG